GUUAUUUUGGUCGGUGCUUCCUUCCGCUGCAAUUCCGUCUGUGGUUCACUGCCACUGGCCUUGCUUUUUCAACGAUAUAACUGUUUUCUUGUGAUUUUUGCUGCUGCAAUCCCGUCUGUGGUUCACUGCCACUGGCCCUGCUUUUCCAACGAUAUAACUGUUUUUUUGGUAACUUCUACCGCUAAGACUUUGUUGCUUUUUCCCUUUUCCCUAAAAACAUAAUAGUGCUACAAAGCUCAAUAACAAUAUGGAAACAAAUGUUAAUAAGCCACAAUAAUAUUGACAAUAA